rnacentral:rRNA from 1 species
UACGUAGGGUGCGAGCGUUGUCCGGAAUUAUUGGGCGUAAAGAGCUCGUAGGCGGUGUGUCGCGUCGGCCGUGAAAACCUGGGGCUCAACUCUGGGCGUGCGGUCGAUACGGGCAUCACUUGAGUUCGGCAGGGGAGACUGGAAUUCCUGGUGUAGCGGUGAAAUGCGCAGAUAUCAGGAGAAACAUCGGUGGCGAAGGCGGGUCUCUGGGCCGAUACUGACGCUGAGGAGCGAAAGCAUGGGUAGCGAACAGG